AUUAGUGGGUUCAGUUAGUAAUCAAGGUUCUUACCCAAAAAGAGUUUUAGUUGUAACAACCUUCAAAAACGUACAGUAGGAGACUUUCCUUGCACGUUCUUCUUUCUUUGUUUCUUUCUUUCGGCCAAGUAAUGUCUCUUCUCCUUCCGCUGUCUCUCUAAGCUGACACCAAACAUUUGGCAAUUUGAAGCUUUCUGAUUUGCCGUCAUACCCUUUUGAUGGCAAAGUUUUUGCCAGAAAGAUAUUUAUCAAGUAUCAGCUUCUUUGGUUGUUUUUAGUGGGCCAAAAAAAAAGGGAAGAACAGAAAGAUGAAGGAAGAACAAAAAGAUAUGAAUGUGGAAGAGGACUAGAAUUUACAAUCUCAUAAACAACUUCAAUCGAGCUGGUCGUAUUUGUUGUAUCGGUGUCGGCUGAGAUUGAUCCAAGAUCAGCUAUGCAUAAUGCACGAUCAUGCAUAAAAUCGUUGAACGAAGAAUGAAGCUCUGUGGUGCACCCUCUACAAUUCAUCCGAUGGCCAUGCACAUAGUUAUGCACAAAAUUUCAAUAUAAUAUUAUUUUUUUCACCGAAAAUAUAUGUAAAGUGGUUGUCGGAGGAAACGGAGCCUUUACACCAACUACAAGAGUUUCUUGACAAGUGUAUAGCAUGGAAAUAGAAUGAAAGAAGCUAUACGUCUUUUCUUUUUCU